AUUGAACGCUGGCGGCAGGCCUAACACAUGCCAGUCGAGCGGGUGAAGGGGGCUUGCUCCUGGAUUCAGCGGCGGACGGGUGAGUACUGCCUAGGAAUCUGCCUGGUAGUGGGGGAUAACGUCCGGAAACGGGCGCUAAUACCGCAUACGUCCUGAUGUAGAAAUUGGGGGAGCUUCGGACCUCACGCUAUCAUAUUAGCCUAGGUCGGAUUCGCUAGUUGGUGGGGUAAAGGCCUACCAAGGCGACGAUCCGUAACUGGUCUGAGAGGAUGAUCAGUCACACUGUAACUGAGACAGGUUCCAGACUCCUACGCGGGGAAGCAGCGGGGAAUAUUGCACAAUGCGCGAAUGCCUGAUACAGCAAUGCCGCGUGUAGCAAGAAGGUCUUCGGAUGCUAAAGCACUGAAGGUCGGAGGGAAGGGAAGUAAGUUAAUCCCUGGCGGUUAUGACGGUACCAACAGAAUAAGCUCCGGCUAACUUCGUG
rnacentral:rRNA from 1 species